AUACGUAGGUGGCAAGCGUUGUCCGGAUUUAUUGGGCGUAAAGCGAGCGCAGGCGGUCUCUUAAGUCUGAUGUGAAAGCCCCCGGCUCGACCGGGGAGGGUCAUUGGAUACUGGGAGACUCGAGUGCAGAAGAGGAGAGUGGAAUUCCAUGUGUAGCGGUGAAAUGCGUAGAUAUAUGGAGGAACACCAGUGGCGAAGGCGGCUCUCUGGUCGGUAACUGACGCUGAGGCUCGAAAGCGUGGGGAGCAAACAGGAUUAGAUACCCUGGUAGUCCACGCCGUAAACGAUGAGUGCUAAGUGUUGGAGGGUUUCCGCCCUUCAGUGCUGCAGCUAACGCAUUAAGCACUCCGCCUGGGGAGUACGGCCGCAAGGCUGAAACUCAAAUGAAUUGGCGGGG
rnacentral:rRNA from 1 species